GAAUAAAAAUUUUUAUUAAAAUUUGUGAUUUUAUUUUAUAUUAAUAAAAAUAAUUGUUAUUUUAUUAUUUAAGAAGAAAAAAUUUAUUUAAUUAUAAAUUAUUAGUAUUGUGAAAGAAUAAUUUUAUAUUUUUAAAAGAAAAAUUUAAUUUUUGUACCUUGUGUAUCAGGGUUGAUUAAAUAAAAAUUUUGAAUAAAAUUUUCUCGAAUUUAAAAGAGUUAAUUAUUUAUAUAUUUAAUUGUUAAAUAAAUUUUUAUAAUAAAUAAUUAGUAAUGAAAUGUUAUUCGUUUUUAAAUAUAUCUAGUUUUUAAAGAAAAAAAUUUAAUUUUAUUAUUAAUAUUUAAAAUUUUAUAUUUUUAAAAUUUUAUUAUUAAUAUUAAAUUUUAUUAGGGAUAAGCUUAAUAAAAAAUAAUUAUAAUUAAUUAAAGUAUAAAUAAUUUAUAGAAUUAAAAUUUUUUAUUAAUAAGAAAAUGUUAUAAUUAAUUAUUUUUUGAUUUAUAUUUUUAUUUAAUUUAAAUUUUAUAUUUAAAUUUAAAUUUUAAUUUUAAAAAUUUAGUAAUUAUGAUUGAAUUAGUAUAAUAAUUUUGUAAUUUUAAUUUUUUAAUUAAGGUUAAUUUAAGGAAUUCGGCAAAUUUAUUUUUCACCUGUUUAUUAAAAACAUGUCUUUUUGAUUAUAAUUUAAAGUCUAAUCUGCCCACUGAGUUAUUAAAUGGCCGCGGUAUUUUGACCGUGCAAAGGUAGCAUAAUAAUUAGUUUUUUAAUUGGAAGCUGGUAUGAAUGAUUGAAUGAGAAAAUAACUGUCUCAAAUUAAUUUAAAGUAGAAUUUUAUUUUUAAGUAAAAAAGCUUAAAUAAAAUUAGAAGACGAGAAGACCCUAUAGAGUUUAAUAAAUUUUAUUUAUUUAAAUUAUUAGUUUUAAAUAUUUAAAUUAUUUAAAUUUAUUUUGUUGGGGUGAUAAAAAAAUUAAAUU
rnacentral:rRNA from 1 species